UUCAAAGACAUUACCUUAGGUACAAUUCUUGUUUUCAAACUACACCCAAGGCAAUGUCUCAUGAACUUUAUACUCCUUCACCUUUUGCAAAUGAUCCUUGGGAAGAUAUAAAUUUCAUAUUAAAACUCCCUAGGACAACAAAAGGUUGUGAUUCAAUCUUCAUGGUUAUGGAUAAACUCUUCUCUAGAGAAGUCAUACAUCUUCAUGGUUUAUCUUCAAGCAUAGUGUUGAAUAGAGUUCCAAAUUUCGC
rnacentral:lncRNA from 1 species